rnacentral:rRNA from 1 species
UGCGCAGGCGGUUAUAUAAGUCAGAUGUGAAAUCCCCGGGCUCAACCUGGGAACUGCAUUUGAGACUGUAUAGCUAGAGUACGGUAGAGGGGGAUGGAAUUCCGCGUGUAGCAGUGAAAUGCGUAGAUAUGCGGAGGAACACCGAUGGCGAAGGCAAUCCCCUGGACCUGUACUGACGCUCAUGUACGAAAGCGUGGGGAGCAAACA